GCGGGGAUAACUAUUGGAAACGAUAGCUAAUACCGCAUAAAAGUCGACAUUGCAUGAUGUUGACUUGAAAGGUGCAACUGCAUCACUAAGAGAUGGACCUGCGUUGUAUUAGCUAGUUGGUGAGGUAACGGCUCACCAAGGCGACGAUACAUAGCCGACCUGAGAGGGUGAUCGGCCACACUGGGACUGAGACACGGCCCAGACUCCUACGGGAGGCAGCAGUAGGGAAUCUUCGGCAAUGGGGGCAACCCUGACCGAGCAACGCCGCGUGAGUGAAGAAGGUUUUCGGAUCGUAAAGCUCUGUUGUAAGAGAAGAACGAGUGUGAGAGUGGAAAGUUCACGCUGUGACGGUAUCUUACCAGAAAGGGACGGCUAACUACGUGCCAGCAGCCGCGGUAAUACGUAGGUCCCGAGCGUUAUCCGGAUUUAUUGGGCGUAAAGCGAGCGCAGGCGGUUAGAUAAGUCUGAAGUGAAAUGCAUGGGCUCAACCCAUGAAUUGCUUUGGAAACUGUUUGGCUUGAGUGUCGGAGGGGUAAGCGGAAUUCCUAGUGUAGCGGUGAAAUGCGUAGAUAUUAGGAGGAACACCGGAGGCGAAGGCGGCUUACUGGACGACAACUGACGUUGAGGCUCGAAGGCGUGGGGAGCAAACAGGAUUAGAUACCCUGGUAGUCCACGCAGUAAACGAUGAAUACUUGGUGUCGGGGAGGUAAACUCUUCGGUGCCGCAAGCAAACGCAUUAAGUAUUCCACCUGGGGAGUACGUUCGCAAGAAUGAAACUCAAAGGAAUUGACGGG
rnacentral:rRNA from 1 species